UGUUUCAGUCAUGGUUUCUAC
rnacentral:miRNA from 1 species